rnacentral:rRNA from 1 species
CCAGUAGCGUAUAUUAAAGUUGUUGCAGUUAAAAAGCUCGUAGUUGAAUUUCGGGGUUAGUAGGUUGGUCAUGCCUCUGGUAUGUACUGGUCUCACUGAUUCCUCCUUCCUGAUGAACCGUAAUGCCAUUAAUUUGGUGUUGCGGGGAAUUUGGACUGUUACUUUGAAAAAAUUAGAGUGUUUAAAGCAAGCUAACGCUUGAAUACAUUAGCAUGGAAUAAUGAAAUAGGACGUUCGAUCCUAUUUUGUUGGUUUCUAGGAUUGACGUAAUGAUUAAUAGGGAUAGUUGGGGGCAUUAGUAUUCAAUUGUCAGAGGUGAAAUUCUUGGAUUUAUUGAAGACUAACUACUGCGAAAGCAUUUGCCAAGGAUGUUUUCAUUAAUCAAGAACGAAAGUUAGGGGAUCGAAGACGAUCAGAUACCGUCGUAGUCUUAACCAUAAACUAUGCCGACUAGGGAUCGGAUGAUGUUAAUUUUUUAAUGACUCAUUCGGCGCCUUAC